rnacentral:misc_RNA from 1 species
AAGUCGUAACAAGGUUUCCGUAGGUGAACCUGCGGAAGGAUCAUUACAGAGGUUUAUCCUUAUUUUGUGAAUUUUAUAUCUGGUGUGUGUUUUUGUUACGAGUGCGGAGCACGAGUUGUGAGAGCAACGAGUCGUACCACUCGUCCAACAUACUACAAAUAUGCACCAAACUUUAUACAACAUAUUGUCUGAAGAAAAGAAAUGAAAAA